rnacentral:rRNA from 1 species
GCAUAACGCGAAGAACCUUACCCACCUUUGACAUGUACGGAAUCCUUUAGAGAUAGAGGAGUGCUCGAAAGAGAGCCGUAACACAGGUGCUGCAUGGCUGUCGUCAGCUCGUGUCGUGAGAUGUUGGGUUAAGUCCCGCAACGAGCGCAACCCUUGCCAUUAGUUGCUACAUUUAGUUGAGCACUCUAAUGGGACUGCCGGUGACAAAACCGGAGGAAGGUGGGGAUGACGUCAAGUCCUCAUGGCCCUUAUAGGUGGGGCUACACACGUCAUACAAUGGCUGGUACAAAGGGUUGCCAACCCGCGAGGGGGAGCUAAUCCCAUAAAGCCAGUCGUAGUCCGGAUCGCAGUCUGCAACUCGACUGCGUGAAGUCGGAAUCGCUAGUAAUCGUGGAUCAGAAUGUCACGGUGAAUACGUUCCCGGGUCUUGUACACACCG